AUGAACGCUGGCGGCGUGCUUAACACCUGCAAGUCGAACGGGAUCCACGGGGUGCUUGCACUUUUUGGUGAGAGUGGCGAACGGGUGAGUAACACGUGAGUAACCUGUCCUUUUCUUUGGGAUAAGCAUUCGAAAGGGUGUUUAAUACCUUAUGUUCUGUCUGCCUCGCAUGGGGUGGGUGGGAAAGGCUUUGGCCGGAUUUGGGUGGGCUCGCGGUCUAUCAGCUUGUUGGUGGGGUGAUGGCUUACCAAGGCUUUGACGGGUAGCCGGCCUGAGAGGGUGGUCGGUCACAUUGGGACUGAGAUACGGCCCAGACUCCUGCGGGAGGCAGCAGUGGGGGAUAUUGCACAAUGGGCGAAAGCCUGAUGCAGCGACGCCGCGUGGGGGAUGAAGGCCUGCGGGUUGUAAACUUCUGUUGCUCUGAACAAGGCAUGCCAGUGGGUGUGUUGAGUGUAGGGGUUGAUUAGCGCCGGCUAACUACGUG
rnacentral:rRNA from 1 species